rnacentral:lncRNA from 1 species
UCGACCCUGUCCAUAGGAUCCUUUAUAAUGGGCCAUUCCAUUUAAUAUAGGCACCCCCCUAUUGAGGGGUCUGGAUAUCCUAUGCGGGAGGGGGUUUUUACCUAAAUUUUUUUAAAAAAAUAGCAAAAAUUAGGUGUUUUAGUGAUAUCCAAGGGGGUAAAAACGAUAUCCUAAAGGGGGUAUAAAGAUAUCCAUGGGGUAACUUCCAAAAAUCACAUCCAAGGGGGUUCUAAAAUGUUUAUAUCCUAAGGGGAUUUGGAAGGGACCCCUCAAUAGGGGGGUGCCUGGCUAUAUUUAAUAAAUGGAAUGGCCCAUUGAUGGAGAUGGCAACAUCAUAAGAUGGAAACAUAUCGAAGAGCUUCAGACUAUGUGCACACGGUAACGUUUCCGAGCGUUUCUAAAACGUCGUUUCCAAUUUUGUCAGUUUGACGCUCUGUCCACACGGAAACGUUUUCACGAG